CAGUCGCCGCGGUAAUACAGAGGGUGCGAGCGUUAAUCGGAUUUACUGGGCGUAAAGCGUGCGUAGGCGGCUUCUUAAGUCGGAUGUGAAAUCCCUGAGCUUAACUUAGGAAUUGCAUUCGAUACUGGGAAGCUAGAGUAUGGGAGAGGAUGGUAGAAUUCCAGGUGUAGCGGUGAAAUGGGUAGAGAUCUGGAGGAAUACCGAUGGCGAAGGCAGCCAUCUGGCCUAAUACUGACGCUGAGGUACGAAAGCAUGGGGAGCAAACAGGAUUAGAUACCCCGGUAGUCCCUGUCUCUUAUAC
rnacentral:rRNA from 1 species